rnacentral:rRNA from 1 species
AGUGAACGCUGGCGGCAGGCCUAACACAUGCAAGCCGAACGGCAGCACAGGAGAGCUUGCUCUCUGGGUGGCGAGUGGCGGACGGGUGAGGAAUACAUCGGAAUCUGCCUAUUUGUGGGGAUAACCUCGGGAAACCGGGACUAAUACCGCAUACGACCUACGGGUGAAAGCAGGGGACCUCCGGGCCUUGCCCAGAUAGAUGAGCCGAUGUACGAUUAGCUAGUUGGAGGGGUAAUGGCCCAACAAGGCGACGAUCCGGAGCUGGUCUGAGAGGAUGAUCAGCCACACUGGGACUGAGACACGGCCCAGACUCCUACGGGAGGCAGCAGUGGGGAAUAUUGGACAAUGGGCGAAAGCCUGAUCCAGCCAUGCCGCGUGAGUGAAGAAGGCCCUCGGGUUGUAAAGCUCUUUUGUUGGGAAAGAAAAGCAAUCGGUUAAUACCCGGUUGUUCUGACGGUACCCAAAGAAUAAGCACCGGCUAACUUCGUGCCAGCAGCCGCCGUAAGAC